AGAGUUUGAUCCUGGCUCAGGAUGAACGCUAGCUACAGGCUUAACACAUGCAAGUCGAGGGGCAGCGAUGAAGAAAGCUUGCUUUCUUCAGGCGGCGACCGGCGCACGGGUGAGUAACGCGUAUCGAACCUGCCUCAUACUCGGGAAUAGCCUUGCGAAAGUAAGAUUAAUGCCCGAUGUUAUUAGGAUAUCACAUGAUGUUUUAAUUAAAGAUUUAUCGGUAUGAGAUGGCGAUGCGUCCCAUUAGUUUGUUGGCGGGGUAACGGCCCACCAAGACAUCGAUGGGUAGGGGUUCUGAGAGGAAGGUCCCCCACAUUGGAACUGAGACACGGUCCAAACUCCUACGGGAGGCAGCAGUGAGGAAUAUUGGUCAAUGGACGCAAGUCUGAACCAGCCAAGUAGCGUGCAGGAAGACGGCCCUCUGGGUUGUAAACUGCUUUUAGUUGGGAAUAAAGUGCACCACGAGUGGUGUUUUGUAUGUACCAUCAGAAAAAGGACCGGCUAAUUCCGUGCCAGCAGCCGCGGUAAUACGGAAGGUCCAGGCGUUAUCCGGAUUUAUUGGGUUUAAAGGGAGCGCAGGCGGACCUUUAAGUCAGCUGUGAAAUACGGCGGCUCAACCGUCGAACUGCAGUUGAUACUGGAGGUCUUGAGUGCACACAGGGAUACUGGAAUUCAUGGUGUAGCGGUGAAAUGCUCAGAUAUCAUGAAGAACUCCGAUCGCGAAGGCAGGUAUCCGGGGUGCAACUGACGCUGAGGCUCGAAAGUGCGGGUAUCAAACAGGAUUAGAUACCCUGGUAGUCCGCACAGUAAACGAUGAAUACUCGCGAUUUGCGAUACACAGUAAGUCGCCAAGCGAAAGCGUUAAGUAUUCCACCUGGGGAGUACGCCGGCAACGGUGAAACUCAAAGGAAUUGACGGGGGCCCG
rnacentral:rRNA from 1 species